ACAGAGGGUGCAAGCGUUAAUCGGAAUUACUGGGCGUAAAGCGUGCGUAGGCGGAAAUUUAAGUCAGAUGUGAAAGCCCCGGGCUCAACCUGGGAACUGCAUCUGAUACUGGAUUUCUAGAGUAUGGCAGAGGAUAGUGGAAUUUCUAGUGUAGCGGUGAAAUGCGUAGAUAUUAGAAGGAACACCAGUGGCGAAGGCGACUGUCUGGGCCAAUACUGACGCUGAGGUACGAAAGCGUGGGUAGCGAACAGG
rnacentral:rRNA from 1 species